rnacentral:hammerhead_ribozyme from 1 species
AUCCAUUGACGAGUCUCAAAUAGGACGAAAUGCGCAUCCUGGAU